rnacentral:rRNA from 1 species
AUUGAACGCUGGCGGCAUGCCUUACACAUGCAAGUCGAACGGCAGCACGGGAGCAAUCCUGGUGGCGAGUGGCGAACGGGUGAGUAAUAUAUCGGAACGUGCCCGGUCGUGGGGGAUAACGUAGCGAAAGCUACGCUAAUACCGCAUACGAUCUACGGAUGAAAGCGGGGGGAUCGCAAGACCUCGCGCGAUUGGAGCGGCCGAUAUCAGAUUAGGUAGUUGGUGAGGUAAAGGCUCACCAAGCCGACGAUCUGUAGCUGGUCUGAGAGGACGACCAGCCACACUGGGACUGAGACACGGCCCAGACUCCUACGGGAGGCAGCAGUGGGGAAUUUUGGACAAUGGGCGAAAGCCUGAUCCAGCAAUGCCGCGUGCAGGAAGAAGGCCUCGGUU